rnacentral:rRNA from 1 species
GACGAACCGUGCGAACGUUGUUCGGAUUCACUGGGCUUAAAGGGCGCGUAGGCGGGCGAUCAAGUCAGGGGUGAAAUCCUCCGGCUCAACCGGAGAAUAGCCUUUGAUACUGGUCGCCUCGAGGAAGGUAGGGGCAUGUGGAACUUCCGGUGGAGCGGUGAAAUGCGUAGAUAUCGGAAGGAACGCCGGUGGCGAAAGCGACGUGCUGGACCUUUUCUGACGCUGAGGCGCGAAAGCCAGGGGAGCAAACGGG